CCCUUCGAUAUCCCGGGCCGCACGCGUGCUACAAUGGAUGUAAUAAUAAGUAAACCAUUCAUCUACUUGAUAAACAAAGUAGAGGGUCCUAUAUAGAGAUAUAUGGGUAAUCUUGAAACUACAUCCGUGCUUGGAAUAGAGGCUUGGAAUUAUUUCUCUUGAACGAGGAAUUCCUAGUAAACGCAAAUCAUCAGUUUGCAUUGAAUACGUCCCUGCCCUUUGUACACACCGCCCGUCGCACCUACCGAUAAAUGGGAAUGUGAAGCGCUCGGACGCCGCCUUCUUCCAUGGCAACAUGGGAGGCAGCGGUGGAAGUGAUAUGAAUUUUCCCAUUCAGAGGAAGGUGAAGUCGUAACA
rnacentral:rRNA from 1 species